rnacentral:antisense_RNA from 1 species
GCUAUUUGUAUAUUGCAUGAUAUUUUAUCAGGAAAAAAAAUAAAACAGAUCUAAUUUCAUGAAAAUGCUGUUGCCAUAAUGCUCAGGAGAACAGGGGGAAGAGAGAGAUUCAAGUCUUCCUAAUGUCUGCCUUAUAUGCAGAGCCUUGGAAAGAUGGGCAAAUGCUCUGUGACAAGCCACCAGGGUAGACUGGUACUGAAAAGACCCUAUUACACAUUUGGCUCUGUCCCUGGCUGGAAAGUUACAAGUCAGCUUACCUCUCUGUGGUCCAGUUUCCACACCUACUACUCUUUAUCCCAUGAGGAGCUUCUGGAAACUAAAAAAGCAGCUGCCCAGGUAGAACAGUGUUGACCAAAGGACACAUCACCAACACAGACUGUUAAUCAUGUGACUAAAGAAAACUCUCAUGGCGGCAUUCAAAUUUCCAUAUCCUUCGUCUAUGGACAUUUCUGAGAAAUCCAGAAAAGGAGCGUAACCACGAGGGAAAGUGAAUCCUGCAGACUUGAACAUUCCAGACUUACCAGGUGACCCAGCUGUCUGGCAGUGGGAAGAGGCUGAGGCGCCCCCUUCUGGUGCCUCUGAAUAGUAAGAAACCCUGUGUAGAAAGAAACCCUGUAGCAAUUGGCCACCUUCUCUGUCAUCUGUCCACUUCCAAUACCAACAUUGUUGCUUUUUAAAUGACAUCCAUCCUAAGCUUAAAAAAAACACAUAUUAUUUGUAUAAAAUGUGGAAGACGCAGAAUAAAAAAUGUAAAACACAUGUAAUCAUCCCUUCCAGAAAUAAUUAUUGUUAAAAUUUCUGUGUAUGUGUAAAAAAAAAAUUGCAAUCCUACUGUAAUAUAAUCCUGUAUACUGAUAUUUUUCACCUAUCACUGUAUGUUGAGCAUUUUCAAUAGUCAAAUUAUUUCUUGAAAAUAUUAAUGACUGGGGAGUAACCUUUCAAAUAGGUGUGUCUUUAUUUUUAAACCAGUCCACAAUUAUUGUAUAUUGAAGUCAUUUCCCAAAUUUUGUAAGUAUAAAUAUUGUAUCCAUCCUUAUAUGUAUUUAAAUGCAUCUCUUAUUAUUUCCUUGAGAUAAGUUCCUAGAAGUGGAAUCACUGGAUCUAAAAAUAUGGACAUAUUUGUGCCAGACGCCAUGGGUCAUGCUUGCAAUCCCAGCACUUUGGGAGACCGAAGCAGGUGGAUCACUUGAGGUCAGGAGUUCAAGACCAGCCUGGCCAACAUAGUGAAACCCCAUCUCUACUAAAAUUACAAAAAUUAGCCAGGUGUGGUGGCGCACGCCUGUAAUCCCAGCUACUCGGGACGCUGAGGCAUAAGAAUCACUUGAACCCAGGAGGCGGAGGUUGCAGUGAGCCGAGAUGGCACCACUGUGCUCCAGUCUGGGUGACAGAGUAAGACUUCAUCUCAAAAAUAAAUAAAUAAAAUUAAAAUUAAAUAAGAUAAAUAAAAAAUAAAAAUGUAGACAUAUUUAAGAUCUUCACAUAUAUUACCAACUGCCCUCCUGAAAGUUUUUAUCUGUUACAUUCCAACCAAUAGUGUAAGGGCAUGACUCUUUCCCUGUGUUUUGGGAUGGAUGUUAUCAAAGUUCUCUCCCACCCAGGUCAAGUAUGGUAUAAGCUUUGUUUUAAUUUGAAUUUUUAAUUUAUUAUUUAAAAUGGACAUUUUGUUGUCCAUUUGAACAACUUUCUUUUGUGUCACUGUUCAUGUUCUUUGCCCAUUGUUUCUCUUUUAUUAGUAAGAACCCUAUUCUCAUUUUUAUAUUUUAAAUAAAAUUUCAUUGUAUAUACAUUUAUAUUAUCUAUAGUAAAGUAUAUUUUAUUAUUAAUGAGAACUCUUUUUAUAUUAAAGAUCCUAACCUAC